UACAGAGGUCUCAAGCGUUGUUCGGAUUCAUUGGGCGUAAAGGGUGCGUAGGCGGCGCGGUAAGUCGGGUGUGAAAUCUCGGAGCUUAACUCCGAAGCUGCAUUCGAUACUGCCGUGCUUGAGGACUGGAGAGGAGACUGGAAUUUACGGUGUAGCGGUGAAAUGCGUAGAGAUCAUGAGGAAGACCAGUGGCGAAGGCGGGUCUCUGGACAGUUCCUGACACUGAGACACGAAGGCCAGGGGAGCAAACGGG
rnacentral:rRNA from 1 species